UCCCAGAACGGUAUGAACAGCUCUGGU
rnacentral:piRNA from 1 species